GCAGCCGCCGCGGUAAUACGUAGGUGGCAAGCGUUAUCCGGAAUUAUUGGGCGUAAAGCGCGCGUAGGCGGUUUCUUAAGUCUGAUGUGAAAGCCCACGGCUCAACCGUGGAGGGUCAUUGGAAACUGGGAAACUUGAGUGCAGAAGAGGAAAGUGGAAUUCCAUGUGUAGCGGUGAAAUGCGCAGAGAUAUGGAGGAACACCAGUGGCGAAGGCGACUUUCUGGUCUGUAACUGACGCUGAUGUGCGAAAGCGUGGGGAUCAAACAGGAUUAGAUACCCGCGUAGUCCCUGUCUCUUAUAC
rnacentral:rRNA from 1 species